GGGGCUGAUCGGUUUCGACGUUGGGACCGGGGGCUGCGCUGUGCGACCCGAGUUGCUCAGACUCGAAAAACGGGGCAACCAACUUAAGCGACAACGACGCUGAACUUCUCGCAGCCUGAUCAUUCUGGCUAAGAGAAGCACCGCGACCGGCAACGGCACGCGGGGCCAGUCCAUCGCAGCCCGGCAACAGAAGCGGCGGAGACAGUAGGGACAGACCACUGGCGGCGGGAAAGACCGCUGGCACCGGGGAACAGACCCGGUGGCGGGCCUUCUAGCGGGGGCCGCCCGACUCGGCGGCGCGGCUGCCAUCGACGCCGCACACCGGGAAUGGUCGUAUCACAGUCAGAGCCCGCCCAGCGGACGGGGGUUCGAUUCCCCCCAGCUCCACUA
rnacentral:tmRNA from 1 species